rnacentral:rRNA from 1 species
GAUGAACGCUGGCGGCGUGCCUAAUACAUGCAAGUCGAGCGAACAGACGAGGAGCUUGCUCCUCUGACGUUAGCGGCGGACGGGUGAGUAACACGUGGAUAACCUACCUAUAAGACUGGGAUAACUUCGGGAAACCGGAGCUAAUACCGGAUAAUAUAUUGAACCGCAUGGUUCAAUAGUGAAAGACGGUUUUGCUGUCACUUAUAGAUGGAUCCGCGCCGCAUUAGCUAGUUGGUAAGGUAACGGCUUACCAAGGCAACGAUGCGUAGCCGACCUGAGAGGGUGAUCGGCCACACUGGAACUGAGACACGGUCCAGACUCCUACGGGAGGCAGCAGUAGGGAAUCUUCCGCAAUGGGCGCAAGCCUGACGGAGCAACGCCGCGUGAGUGAUGAAGGUCUUCGGAUCGUAAAACUCUGUUAUUAGGGAAGAACAAAUGUGUAAGUAAAUAUGCACGUCUUGACGGUACCUAAUCAGAAAGCCACGGCUAACUACGUG